AACGAACGCUGGCGGCAGGCUUAACACAUGCAAGUCGAACGCAUCGCAAGAUGAGUGGCAGACGGGUGAGUAACGCGUGGGAACAUACCCUUUUCUACGGAAUAGCUCUGGGAAACUGGAAUUAAUACCGUAUACGCCCUACGGGGGAAAGAUUUAUCGGGGAAGGAUUGGCCCGCGUUGGAUUAGCUAGUUGGUGGGGUAAAGGCCUACCAAGGCGGCGAUCCAUAGCUGGUCUGAGAGGAUGAUCAGCCACAUUGGGACUGAGACACGGCCCAGACUCCGACGGGAGGCAGCAGUGGGGAAUAUUGGACAAUGGGCGCAAGCCUGAUCCAGCCAUGCCGCGUGAGUGAUGAAGGGCUGAGGGUUGUAAAGCUCUUUCACCGAUGAAGAUAAUGACUGUAGCCGGAGAAGAAGCCCCGGCUAACUUCGUGCCAGCCGCCGCGGUAA
rnacentral:rRNA from 1 species